rnacentral:tRNA from 2 species
GGACGGUUAGCUCAGUUGGCUAGAGCGCUUCUUUGACGUAGAAGAGGUCAGGGGUUCGAGUCCCUUACCGUCCACCC